rnacentral:rRNA from 1 species
UGUAGAAACGGCCCGGGGCUCAACCUCGGAAUAGCAUUUGAAACUGGCAGACUAGAGUACUAGUAGAGGGGGGGUAGGAAUUUCAGGUGUAGCGGUCGAAAUGCGUAGAGAUCUGAAGGAAUACCGGUGGCGAAGGCGGCCCCCUGGACAGAUACUGACACGUUCCAGAUGCGAAAGCGUCGGGGAGCAAACAGGAUUACGAUACCCUGGUAG